GGGGAAUAUUGCACAAUGGGCGAAAGCCUGAUGCAGCAACGCCGCGUGAGUGAUGACGGCCUUCGGGUUGUAAAACUCUGUCUUUAGGGACGAUAAUGACGGUACCUAAGGAGGAAGCCACGGCUAACUACGUGCCAGCAGCCGCGGUAAUACGUAGGUGGCAAGCGUUGUCCGGAUUUACUGGGCGUAAAGGGAGCGUAGGCGGAUGUUUAAGUGGGAUGUGAAAUACUCGGGCUCAACUUGAGUGCUGCAUUCCAAACUGGAUAUCUAGAGUGCAGGAGAGGAAAGGAGAAUUCCUAGUGUAGCGGUGAAAUGCGUAGAGAUUAGGAAGAAUACCAGUGGCGAAGGCGCCUUUCUGGACUGUAACUGACGCUGAGGCUCGAAAGCGUGGGGAGCAAAC
rnacentral:rRNA from 1 species